rnacentral:lncRNA from 1 species
CAAAAUAAAAUAUGAAGCUCCUAUGGGUUUGGUGUGUGAUAAUAAGUCUGCAAUAUUGCACACAAUCCAGUUUAACCUGAUCGAAUAAAGCAUGUGGAGAUAGACCGACACUUUAUUAAGGAGAAAUUGGAUAAUGGUCUUAUAGCCACUGAGUACAUCCCUUCAAGACUCCAAUUGACAGAUAUAUUUACUAAGGGACUUCCCACAAAACAUUUUGAAGAUCUUACUUGCAAGUUGGGAAUGAUAAUAUACAUGCACCAGCUUGAGGGGGAGUGUUGCAGAAUCAGAGAAAUUAUUCCGUAAUUAAGUACAGAUUUCAUUCUCAAUUUAUUAGGACAAAUUUGUUAGUAAUUUGAUUUAAUUUGUAUAGUUUUAAUCAUCCAUUAUUUCUAACUUUCAUUACCUAUUAUUUUUUUUCUUAAUUAAGUUAUAAACCGUCUAUAAAUAGAGACUGUAAUCACAUUUGUAAAUCAUCUCAAAAAUAUAUUUCACAUAUUUCUUUCACCUAUAUAUAUUAAGAAAGUUGUUCGAGAAUAAGAGUUAUAGAUUAAUUAAUUCUAACGGAUACAAAGAUAGAAGGUCUGCUCCAAGGAACCGUGGCAACGAGAGAGUUAUACAUAUUUGUAUGCUUGAAGUAAAAUUCAUGUUUGUAAGUUGAUGUCCUUAAUUAUAUUGAUUGAAAAUAGUACUAUCAUGUUCGAUGAAUUCAAGAACAUGAAUGGAUUUGAUAUGACAGAUCUUGUCAUGAUGCACUACUUAAACAAUGCAAUGGGAUGAUGCAUUUCUUUUUUCUCAAAAGAAAUAUGUGGGACAAAUUCUAGUCAGAUGCAUAAUUGCAAUUAUGUAAACAUCUCAAUCAAGUAUGGUUUUAAGUUACAGACAGAAGAAAAUAAAGUGAAUACAUCUUACAAAGAAAUUGUUUGUAGACAGUUUAAUGUAUCUAACUGCAAUAAGGUAUAUCUAAUUUUAACAAGGUAUGAUACUUUGGAGUGUCUUAUCAUACUUGCCAGAGCUCUUGUCUCUUGCUUCUCUACAAAACAACCUAUUAUGAUUUUAUAUAUAUAACUUUUGAAUAAUAAUAACAAUAAUAAUAUUAAUAAUACAUUUAAAUUUAUUAACUGUUAUAGUUUUAUAAAUUUUAACUAGCUUAUUUUUAUUAGCUCAAUGUGAGAGUUGAAUUCUCCAAUAUUUUAUAGAAAGAAAAGUUCUGAUAAUACUCUUUAAUAUAUAUUCUAUUAUAGGUUAAAAUUUUAAUAAGAAUAAUAUUGAUUGAGAAAGUAAUAAAAUCUCUAUAUAUAAUAAUUUGAAAAAAAAUGCAUUAGAAUUCAGAGUAGGUUAGAAGUGUAUUACUAACUCUCUUUUGCGUGACAUUAACUUAUUUUAACACUCACUACAAGAAAAUCAUGAAAUAGAAAUCAAUUUUUAGAAACCAAAAUAAUUAGUUGUAAUAGUAAUUAAAUUAGAUAUCAUUUUAAAAACUGAAAAGAAAUUUGGUUUCUAAAUUAGUUUAUAUUAUUAAUAAAUAGUUUCUAAAUUGAUAUCUAAUUAGCAACCAAAGUUUUUGCUACCAAAUUUAGAAACUAAAUAAUUGGUAGUUAAAACCUUAGUUGCUAAUUAGAUAUCAAUUUAAAAACUAUUUAUUAAUAAUAUAAAUUAAUUUAGAAACCAAUUUUUUUUUUAGUUUCUAAAAUGGUCUCUAUUUUAGUUUCUAUUGUAACUAAUUAUUUUGGUCUCAAAAAAUUGAUUUUUAUUUGAUGAUUUUUUUGUAGUAACUCUUUUUUCUCAUAUUUUUUUUUUGUUAAAAUUGACUAAAAUUUGAUAAAUUGGAAAAAAAUUAUCCAAAGAGCAGAGUUCGUGUAUUAUUUAAAAUCGUGAGAGAGACGUAAAACUUGAGGGUAACUGAUCAGAGUUCACACUAUACUGUCUAUUUUCUGACAUCCUAAAGAUCUGCUUCAAUAUCCUGUCAGCUGAGUGUGUCCAAAUGCAAAUAUAUCAAUAUAUAAUGUUAUAUUUUACUCGGUAACUAAAUAUGACAUGUUAUGUUGUGUAUGAAUUGAAUAGAAAACGAAGUUAAGCUCCAAACCCAAACAUAUUUAACAUCUGUUUGUAGUGUAGUGCACUUAAAUCAUAAAUGGAAAUAAUUAAGGUAUAGAUGAUACCUGCAACUAGGCAAGUCCAUAUCAUGAUGUAUAUCUUCUUUCCUUUUCAAUCACCAAGAGAAGAAUUGAAUCUAACCUUCCUGAAAAAUAUGUAAUGCAGCAGUAAUCACACACAAAGUUAUAGUUAUAUACAUGAGAGCAAUCAUUUCAAGGUUGAACAAAACAAUGUUACGUACCAUAUAUAUAUAAUGUUCAUUAGAGGCUUUGAAACAGGUUACAUAUGUUAAUCAUAUAUCUAAGUACAUUCAACAUCAUUAAUUUUCCUGGCAAGCAAAAAGCACUAGGUGGGGCAUCCACUCCUAUGCUCAUAAGCAACAAUUGCUUAUAAGGUGCUCAAUCCGGUGUGUGGAUUCAAUAGGAUAUAGUAGAGAUGGCUGGUUUGGCAUGGUCUGAUAUGAAAUUCUGUGUUCAAUUUGUUUUGUAAGAACAGACACUGUGUUGCAACUAGGUAUGCAAUGCAUUUAGCAGUAUGUGUUUUGUUUAUGGUACAUUGGAAUGUACCUUUUUUUUUUGUGUGUAAAAGGAUUGAAACACAAACAAGUAACAGUUGCAUAUGUUUGAGGAAUCUUGAGCAGAAAGAAUUUAACGAUAUGCUACAUGAACUACAUUGUUCAAAACAUGAUUAUAUAUAAACACAAAUGGAGGCAACAGAAAGAAUUGAAGGGAUUCCCUUCAGUCCAAGCAAAAGAGACAGGAUGCAAAAUAUCUCCUGCUUCAUUCAUUCACACAAGUAGCCAAACACACCUCUUAUGAAUAAUCCCUACUGUGUGUGUACGAAUGAGUCAGCAGAUACUUCAGCAACCCUCCAUACCUUUGCCAGGACUGAAGGAACUCCUUCACUCUUUCUCUCCCCGUAAUGUGAGUAGCAAUGCAUUUGUUGCAACUUGGGAUAAUAAAUAAAUAUCACUCAAUACAUUAAUAUCUAUACAUAUAUCAAGGGGUUUUCUGGUUUCCUUUAAAUGGUUAUUGAAUCCUAUGUAUUAUAUUUCAAUAGUGUAUAUUUGUUUUGAAUUAUGAGAAUGGGUUUAGUACAUAAUAUUUUAUCUCUUGGUUGAUAAAAAAAAAUAUCUCUCUAUAUAUAUGAAAGCUUUCUAUGAUGAAAUUUAUAAAAUUAGAUUUGUCUAAGCUGAAUGAAAAAUAGUCUUGAAAAAUCUAUUCCAUUUUAUAUUUUAUAUUUUUUCUUCUAUUAAUGCUUAUAUAGAAAAAGUUAUUCAAUCAACACAUUAUGAAAUUGCAGAGCGAAUUAUUAGCUACUUUAUAACUUCAUACAAAAUAAAUAGAGAUGAAAUUGUUGGGAAAAACACUUCUGUAGGCCGAAAAGAAAAGGGCAGUAUCAAAUAUAAAGAAAGGUUGUUUUUUCCUUCACCUUCAUAGCUUCUAGUGAUGCUCAUAGAUUAGAUGAACAAAUCAUUUUAUUUUUAAAAAAUAUAUUUUAAAUUCUACAAUUUGAAAAUAUAUUUUUCUAUUUACACAUUGUAGAAUUAGAAAGAUAUCAGAUUCUAUAAUUAAAAAUAUAUAUUUUAAAAUAUAUAUAUAUAUAUAUUUGGAUUAAAAAAUUCAAAAAAUAUUUCCGGAUAUAUAAAUAUCUUUCAGAUAGAUUCUGUAAUUCAUAAAUAUCUUUAGAUUUUAUUAUCAAGAGUUUUUCCGGAUCACUUAUUUCAAAAUAAAAAACAUUAAUAAGAUAAAAAAAAAAUAUUUUUGAUAUUUUAAGAAAUAUGAAAGUGUGAGAAGAAGAAGCUAUGAAGUUGCAGGAGGAAAUUGCUAGAAAAAAACAGUACCAAAACAAUAAAGUAGUUUCUAAUAUAAAGAAAACUUAGGAGUGGGAAAAGGAUAAGAGCUGAAUCAACAAGAAUUACCGUGAAAGCUAAUCCCCGCAAAUGAGCGACGCUCAAGUUAAUCCCAUGCAAGUUUGAAUUAAAUUUCAUUUGAAAAAAAAAUGGUCAAAAUCCUAAUUCACAUAUAAGGGUAUAUAUAUAGCAGCAAUCCAACACCUAGAAAAGAAAAUAGGAGCGGUAGGCAUAGAACUCCAACUGCAGAGAACCCUAAUUUUCAGAACUGCAAGAACAGUGAAGAAAGAUUAAUCCAACACAACACAACAUAGAGAGUAAAUUUAAUUUUAGAGAGAUGAAAGGUAGAACAAUAGUGGGUAUGAAUUGAAAGAGUUGUUCAUUUUCUGUGUUUUGAUGACAAAAUAAAAAAAAAACACAAAAAUUAAAGUUGGAAGUUAGAAUUAUGUAGGAAAAGGAAGGUGAGAGCAAAGAAGGUUGCUUCGAGAGACAUGUUCUGCUGCCACAAACCCUAAACCAGGAGUGUUAUUGUGGCAGACAGACGAAAGAAAAAGAAAUUUAUAAACAAA